UCACCAUCAAGGGGAGCCAAGUUCAA
rnacentral:misc_RNA from 1 species